AAAAUGACUCUCAGCAACGGAUAUCUUGGCUCUUGCAACGAUGAAGAACGCAGCGAAAUGCGAUACCUAGUGUGAAUUGCAGAAUUCCGCGAAUCNUCGAGUUUUUGAACGCAAGUUGCGCCCGAGGCUCGUCUGAGGGCAUNNNUGCCUGAGCGUCCGC
rnacentral:rRNA from 1 species